UACGUAGGUGACCAGCGUUGUCCGGAUUUACUGGGCGUAAAGAGCGCGCAGGCGGUCGUUCAAGUCGAGUGUGAAAGCCCCCGGCUCAACUGGGGAGGGUCACUCGAUACUGAUCGACUUGAAGGCAGGAGAGGAACGCGGAAUUCCAGGUGUAGCGGUGAAAUGCGUAGAUAUCUGGAGGAACACCGGUGGCGAAGGCGGCGUUCUGGACUGGCAACUGACACUGAGAGACGAAAGCCAGGGGAGCAAACGGG
rnacentral:rRNA from 1 species